AUUGAACGCUGGCGGCAGGCUUAACACAUGCAAGUCGAACGGGGUGAUGGUGCUUGCACUAUCACUUAGCGGCGGACGGGUGAGUAAUGCUUAGGAAUCUGCCUAUUAGUGGGGGACAACAUCUCGAAAGGGAUGCUAAUACCGCAUACGUCCUACGGGAGAAAGCAGGGGAUCACUUGUGACCUUGCGCUAAUAGAUGAGCCUAAGUCGGAUUAGCUAGUUGGUGGGGUAAAGGCCUACCAAGGCGACGAUCUGUAGCGGGUCUGAGAGGAUGAUCCGCCACACUGGGACUGAGACACGGCCCAGACUCCUACGGGAGGCAGCAGUGGGGAAUAUUGGACAAUGGGGGGAACCCUGAUCCAGCCAUGCCGCGUGUGUGUGAAGAAGGCCUUAUGGUUGUAAAGCACUUUAAGCGAGGAGGAGGCUCUUUUGGUUAAUACCCAAGAUGAGUGGACGUUACUCGCAGAAUAGGCACCGGCUAACUCUGUGCCAGCCGCCGCAGUAA
rnacentral:rRNA from 1 species